UACGUAGGUGGCAAGCGUUGUCCGGAUUUACUGGGCGUAAAGAGCGCGCAGGCGGUCGUCCAAGUCGCGUGUGAAAGCCCCCGGCUCAACUGGGGAGGGUCACGCGAUACUGGUCGACUCGAAGGCAGGAGAGGGUAGUGGAAUUCCCGGUGUAGUGGUGAAAUGCGUAGAUAUCAAGAGGAACACCUGAGGUGAAGACGGGUUGCUGGGCUGACACUGACGCUGAGGCGCGACAGCGUGGGGAGCAAACAGG
rnacentral:rRNA from 1 species